AAAAGGUUUUAAGCGAUGACCAUUAACCUUAAAAACUUUGUCAGAGGUCGGACUCUGAAUCUCAACUGCACCAUGAGGAAAAACAUUAGUAACAAUAAAAGGUCCAACCCAGCGAGAACGUAAUUUACCAGGAAAAAGUUUAAGCUUAGAAUAAAAAAGAAGAACUUUUUGACCAACAGAGAACUCCUUUCUCAAAAUCAUUCUGUCAUGAAAUGUCUUCGUCUUUUCCUUGUAAAAUCGCGAAAUCUCAUAGGAUUCGUUUCUAAUCUCCUCCAACUCUUGCAGCUGCAACUUCCUCUGCUUUCCC
rnacentral:lncRNA from 1 species